ACAUUGGUAGUUCAGGGGUAGAAUUCUUGCCUUCCAUGUGGGAGACCUAGGUUCGAUUUCUGGCCAAUGCA
rnacentral:tRNA from 1 species